CCUACGGGAGGCAGCAGUGGGGAAUAUUGCACAAUGGGGGAAACCCUGAUGCAGCGACGCCGCGUGAGUGAAGAAGGAUUUCGGUAUGGAAAGCUCUAUCAGCAGGGAAGAAAAAAGACGGUACCUGACUAAGAAGCCCCGGCUAACUACGUGCCAGCAGCCGAGGUAAUACGUAGGGGGCACGCGUUAGCCGGAUUUACUGGGUGUAAAGGGAGCGUAGACGGCUGUGCAAGUCUGAAGUGAAAGCCCAGGGCUCAACCCUGGGACUGCUUUUGAAACUGUGGAGCUAGAGUGCGGGAGAGGUAAGUGGAAUUCGUGGUGUAGCGGUGAAAUGCGUAGAUAUUAGGAGGAACACCAGUUGCGAAGGCGGCUUACUGGACAGUAACUGACGUUGAGGCUCGAAAGCGUGGGUAUCAAACAGGAUUAGAUACCCGGGUAGUC
rnacentral:rRNA from 1 species